UUGACGGAAGAACCAGACUGAAACCCUAGUUUUCAGAGCAAUGACGCCGAAUCUGAGAUCUGUCGUUGCACAGGGCUGGAGAUCGAUUCACUCUCGCCGCAAUUUCUCUUCCUCAUCGUCUGGUAGCACCAACGAGUCUAAGAGCGGAGGCAGGACGGUUUUAUCAUGGCUCACCACUAAUGGUAGUGGUUUAGCAAAACGAGGUCUUUACCUGAUGGGGGGAUAUUUGUUUGGUAUGGAGGAUCCUGAGAGAGCGAGAGUGUGGUGGUAACAAAACAUCCCCUCAGGGAUCUUUUAGGAGAAGAUGAGAUAGAAGAGUUUUUAAGAAAGUGCAGAGUGCCAGAGAGUAGAUUUGAGGAAUCCGAUGGGGGCCGUCCGUAGCUGGAUGCUUGUGUUGGAAUUUUUCUAAUAAUCUGUAAGCUAAUUUGUAUUUCGUGGACCAGUCAGACGUUAUAAAUUAUGGAGUUGCCUUUCGAAUUUA